rnacentral:rRNA from 1 species
UGAAUACAUAGGCAUGCAGGGGGAACCCGGUGAACUGAAACAUCUAAGUAGCCGGAGGAAAAGAAAGAAAAAUCGAUUUCCAAAGUAGCGGCGAGCGAAAUGGAAGGAGCCCAAACCGGGAUGCGUGCAUUCCGGGGUUAUGGACCGCAACAAGUGACCCGUAAGAUAGAAGAAUGGCAUUGGGAAAGCCAGCCACAGAGGGUGAAAGCCCCGUAUUCGAAAUCAGAAGGGAGCGAGCGGAAUCCGAAGUACUACGAGACACGUGGAACCUUGUAGGAAAUCGGGGGGACCACCCCCCAAGGCUAAAUACUCCUUAGUGACCGAUAGCGCAUAGUACUGUGAAGGAACGGUGAAAAGAACCCCGGGAGGGGAGUGAAAGAGAACCUGAAACCCUGUGUUUACAAGCUGUGGAAGAGCUUUACAUGCUCAACCGCGUACUUUUUGUAGAACGGUCCGGCGAGUUACUCUUACUGGCAAGGUUAAGCACCAAAGGUGUGGAGCCGAAGGGAAACCAAGUCUUAACAGGGCGAGUUAGUCAGUGUGAGUAGACCCGAAACCGGGUGACCUACCCAUGUCCAGGAUGAAGUUGCCGUAAAAGGCAAUGGAGGUCCGAACACACAUCCGUUGAAAAGGGUGGUGAUGAGGUGUGGGUAGCGGAGAAAUUCCAAUCGAACCCGGAGAUAGCUGGUUCUCCUCGAAAUAGCUUUAGGGCUAGCCUCAAUUUAGUCUUGCGGAGGUAGAGCACUGAAUAUCCUAGGGGGCGUCAAAGCUUACCGAAGAUUAUCAAACUCCGAAUGCCGUAAAGAUGAUGAUUGGGAGUCAGACUGCACGAGAUAAGUUGGGUAGUCAAAAGGGAAACAGCCCAGACCUCCAGCUAAGGUCCCAAAGUGAGUGUUAAGUGGAAAAGGAUGUGGGAUUUCGAAGACAACUAGGAUGUUGGCUCAGAAGCAGCCAUUCAUUCAAAGAGUGCGUAAUAGCUCACUAGUCGAGAGGUCCUGCGCCGAAAAUGUCCGGGGCUAAACACUACACCGAAGCUGAGGAAUGACAAUGUCAUUGGUAGAGGAGCAUUCUUAACUGCGACGAAGCUGUACCGAAAGGAGCAGUGGAGUGUUAAGAAGAGAGAAUGCCGGAAUGAGUAGCGAGAGUGAGGUGAGAAUCCUCACGGCCGAAUAUCUAAGGUUUCCAGGGUAAAGCUGAUCUGCCCUGGGUAAGUCGGGACCUAAGGCGAGGUCGAAAGACGUAGUCGAUGGACAACAGGUUGAAAUUCCUGUACUGCAAUGUAUCAGAAAUGUGGGGACACAGACAGAGAGCCGGAGCCGGGAAUGGAGAAACCGGUGCAAGCGGGGUAGGAGAACAGCAGGCAAAUCCGCUGUUCAAUCCAAAGACGUGACGCGGAGCGAAAUUAAAGUAGCGAAGCCGGUGAGCUGGCUGUCAGGAAAAGCCGCUAUUGUGUACAUUGUACCCGUACCGUAAACCGACACAGGUGGAUGAGGAGAGAAUCCUAAGGCCGACGGAAGAAGCAUUGUUAAGGAACUCGGCAAAAUGGCCCCGUAACUUCGGGAUAAGGGGUGCCUACGAAGGUAGGCCGCAGAGAAUUGGCCCAAGCAACUGUUUAGCAAAAACACAGGUCUAUGCGAAACCGUAAGGUGAUGUAUAUGGGCUGACGCCUGCCCGGUGCUGGAAGGUUAAGGGGAGAGGUUAGACAUGAGUCGAAGC